GUCAUGAGGUCAACUAUGUCAUGACCGCUUCAAUUUACAUCAUCUAUGACAGGAAAACAUAUUAACAAUACUUACAAAGCACGUUUUGAAGAACUCAGUUGGGUCAUCAUCAAUAAUUACUGUAAGCCCUCUCAUGCCAACACAUCUCAUGUCAGCGAGGUCAGAGGUGCAGUGGUGGCAGAGACAACAAUAUAUCAUUUGUCAACAUCAAAGGAAGGAAAUUUCCAUCAAUCAUUAUUUUGUCUGUCUUACUUAACAGUCAUGAAGUAAUGGUAAUAGGCUGGCUUCAAAAUGAAGCUUACACUGGCAUCAUCCUAAAUUUACAAACCUUGAUUUGUUGCAGAAGAUCAGCAAAAUCUGCCCUCUUAGACCUCUCAUUGUCCUGAAGAUUCAAAUCAGGUGUGGACAGUGAAGAUCAAGAGAGCCGUAGAAUGCUUGUUGAAGGUUCUUCCCAAACACCCGGCUGAAGUCUUAGUGUAAAGCAUUUGUUUACAUCAGGAAAUUGUCAAAACGGUCAAAUGUUUCAAUACUCAUUUUGUUGCAGAAGAUAUGAACAUGGGCAUUUCACUUCACCUGAUUUUCUAUAAACACUGAAAAAUCUCACUUAGAAGAGGCUUGUCAAAUCAAAACUUCCUUUCUUCUUAAAUACAGUAUCAGGUCCAUCUCCUGGUUGAUAAAAAAUGCAUUAUUUUUUUCUUCAUUUCAUCCUCCAGUUGCUCUCUGGAUAUUUCAAGGCUGGAGGCGUCCUGUCCAUCUGGAAGGUCAGGGAGGUAUUUGACCUCCCCUUUCCUUGGUUUCUUAAUGUUCUUGUGAGGUGGCUCGCUGCUGGUAGAAUAUCUCCAUCUCUUCCCAGCAUUAACCAUGACCAUUGUGUGUCCAAUGUUCCUCAUUUUUGACCUGUAAUUGCCCAUUUUGCCUUUCAGACUGUUUGUCCACCCACAGUAUCAGAAGGUGAUCCUGGUUCUUGGGCAUCCACCAAUGCCUUAGCAACGGCUCGUACAUCAUCAGCAGUUGGUUAUGCUUUGAAGGAGUAUAUGGUCUCUGCCAGCUUUUGAAGAAUGAUUUUCCACAUAAAAAUCAUGGCGGAAAUACGGAAGAUGUUUUUCAGGGCAGAGGAUCCAGGAAAAAUACACAAAUAUUCCAUAUUGGACAUACACAAUUUCGAUGAGAGCCCCUGUUCAGUACAAGAAGGGCUGAAGAGCGUUCACACACCUCAUCUCUUGUUGCAUUCAUGGACAUUAUCAAGGACACAGUAUCAUAUCACAGACAUCACAGUGACGAUGAGGAUAAACUGAGAACGUUGAUGCACUGCAGUGCACUAAUAGCUCCACGGAGAUUCAGAACAUCCUAUUGAAAGACUGCAGCAGUACUUCCUGAAUGAUAUAGGGGAAGGUAAACAUGUUGCUGUUCUCUGUAGUGCCAUGGGCGGAACUGCAUAGCUUGACUGACACACACUGACCUGCCAAAAAGACUUUUGCAGAUCUUCUACAAGUGAUGCGAGAACAUUUGUCACCUAAACCAUAAUUAUUUGCAGACCAUUUUCACUUAUAUGGCCGAAUUAAAGAAGUUUAAAGAAUUAAAAAGAACAUAGCAUUGUCAGUUUUGGGAUGUGUUAAAUGACGCGUUGCAUAAUUAUCUGGCAUGUGGAAUACAUCACGAAGGAAACAGGAAGAGACAGUUGACUGGGACAGAUCUGAUGCUUAAACAGGCAUUUAAGAGACUGCUAUGCCCAUGGAAACUGCAGCUGAAGAAGCUCUCGCAUUACAAAGUUACAUAAAGGCUGGAAAUGUAAAUUAAUUGCCAUCAGAAACGUUUGACAAACAGUCAAGAGUUGGAUUUUUUUGUGGGAAACUUGCUGCAUGCAUUUAGCCACUAGUAGGUCAUAUAAUAAACAUUGGUGUAUAUAAAGAAGAGUGUGAUGGGAAGUAGGGGGCGCUUUUGCCUCUGGUGUGAGUUUCCCUCACCUUCUCUUUUCCCAGACUUAUCAUGAACCAGGCCAGACCCAGUUGCUUGCAUUUCAGCAUGUCUAGCUCAUGACUGAUCCUGUUGUGGUGUGACUGCUGCUGUGUAACGAUACUUAAAGAUAAAUGUCAGGUGCAUUGCUUAAACACAUCUCAACCAUCAACCAUCACCCUUUUCAUCUCAACCAUCACCCAUCACCCUUCUCAUCUCAACCAUCACCCUCUCAUCUCAACCAUCAACCAUCACCCUUUUCAUCUCAACCAUCACCCAUCACCCUCUCAUCUCACCCAUCACCCUCUCAUCUCAACCGUCAACCAUCACCCUUCUCAUCUCAACCAUCAUCCUCUCAUCUCAAUGAUCACCCAUCACCCUUCUCAUCUCAACCAUCAACCAUCACCCUUUUCAUCUCAACCAUCACCCAUCACCCUUCUCAUCUCAACCAUCACCCUCUCAUCUCAACCAUCAACCAUCACCCUUUUCAUCUCAACCAUCACCCAUCACCCUCUCAUCUCACCCAUCACCCUCUCAUCUCAACCGUCAACCAUCACCCUUCUCAUCUCAACCAUCAUCCUCUCAUCUCAAUGAUCACCCAUCACCCUUCUCAUCUCAACCAUCAACCAUCACCCUUCUCAUCUCAACCAUCAACCAUCACCCUCUCAUCUCAACCAUCACCCAUCACCCUCUCAUUUCAACUGUUGUGGAUAAAAAUGUCAUAAAAUAAACAUGAGGGAGACCUAGUAUCCAGUAAAGGGGAGAAGAAGAAAAGACACACAGAAGCGGUAGUAGGCGAAUAUUGACAAAUUGGAUUUACACUUUAAAGAUCUUUAAGAGUAAUACACUAUGCUUUAUUAGUCGAAGAGUCAAAAAGAAGUAUAAGAGCCGAGGAGUGCCACACACACACACACACACUCUCGCACAGUCAUGGGCGGGCAUGUAGACAUAACACACACAAACACACACACACACACACACACACACACACACACACACACACACAUAACAUUAUAACUUUAUAAGAAUAAUAAAAAGGAGUAUUGAGAUAUUAUAUGGGUAAUAUCUUAUAAUAAUAGAAAACUCUUUAUAAAAUACAGAAUAGUAAGAUAUGUAGGACAGUAGAAGGGUAAUAUAAUGAUAUAAUGAUAUUUACUGUGUAAAUACAGUAUAAAUACUGGAGCUUAAGCUCAGGGUAUCAGAUCACUUCUGAGAAUUCUCAUCGGUGUGGAUCUCGUGUGGUGGAACGGAACAAUAAAGCUGGACCCUUGCUUCUUCUCACUCACGGCUGGUGUAUUUUUUCAAUCUCCAACUGGGCUCAGAGGUAGAUGUGAGUAUUGGCUUCUAUGUUGAAUUUUAAGUGUUUUUGGGUAAUAGGCUAAAUUUGAGCCAGCACCCCUUCUCAUCUCAACCAUCACCCUUCUCAUCUCAACCAUCAACCAUGGCCCCCAAAGGGAAGGGAGUAAGGUUGGAUAUUUGUGGAGCUUCCUGUUCCAUAUCAUCCUUGUCACCACAAUAGUCAGACAAACAGGAACCGCCUCUCUGCAUUUUUACAGAGUU